rnacentral:rRNA from 1 species
GCACAAGCGGAGGAACAUGUGGUUUAAUUCGAUGAUACGCGAGGAACCUUACCUGGGCUAGAACGCAUUCGGAAUCAGGCCGAAAGGCCUGCGCCAGCGAUGGCCGCUUGCGAGGUGCUGCAUGGUUGUCGUCAGCUCGUGCCGUGAGGUGUCGGGUUAAGUCCCAUAACGAGCGCAACCCCUACUGCUAGUUGCCAGGCGGGUCAUGCCGGGGACUCUAGCGGAACUGCCAGCGUAAGCUGCGAGGAAGGUGGGGAUGACGUCAAAUCAGCACGGCCCUUACGUCCAGGGCUACACACGUGUUACAAUGGCCGGUACAGAGGGCAGCCACCCCGCGAGGGGGCGCGAAUCCCGAAAGCCGGUCCCAGUUCGGAUCGGAGUCUGCAACCCGACUCCGUGAAGCUGGAUUCGCUAGUAAUCGCGCAUCAGCCACGGCGCGGUGAAUACGUUCCCGGGCCUU